rnacentral:rRNA from 1 species
GAUGAACGCUCGCUACAGGCUUAACACAUGCAAGUCGAGGGGCAGCAUGGUCUUAGCUUGCUAAGGCCGAUGGCGACCGGCGCACGGGUGAGUAACACGUAUCCAACCUGCCGUCUACUCUUGGACAGCCUUCUGAAAGGAAGAUUAAUACAAGAUGGCAUCAUGAGUUCACAUGUUCACAUGAUUAAAGGUAUUCCGGUAGACGAUGGGGAUGCGUUCCAUUAGAUAGUAGGCGGGGUAACGGCCCACCUAGUCUUCGAUGGAUAGGGGUUCUGAGAGGAAGGUCCCCCACAUUGGAACUGAGGCACGGUCCAAACUCCUACGGGAGGCAGCAGUGAGGAAUAGUGGUCAAUGGGCGAGAGCCUGAACCAGCCAAGUAGCGUGAAGGAUGACUGCCCUAUGGGUUGUAAACUUCUUUUAGAAAGGAAGAAAGUCGGGUAUGUAUACCCGUUUGCAUGUACUUUAUGAAUAAGGAUCGGCUAACUCCGUG